CCAUCCAACUAGGCCUCCGUUGAUCCGUCACUGCUUCGAUUUUUGUGUCAUCUUCUAUUGAGCAUAUCUCUUUCAUCCGAUCUCCAUUUGGACUGAUCUUGUGCUCGUUGGACUCCAUUCAUCAUUGCAGACCUUACUGUAGACUCAGUGUGGACCAAAUCUCAAGGCAUCAAAUCCUAACAGAUAUGAAGAUCAUCAAACAUCCCAUC
rnacentral:lncRNA from 1 species